AUGGCGCCUAAUGGUGACGCGGCGGUGGCGGCGGCGGCGGAGGCGGUGCCGAUGGGGCGGCCGAGGCAGCAGCCGAAGCCGCGGAGGAUCUCGAUGGAGGGGCUCCAGCGCGCCAUGUCCGACCUGGCCCUGGAGUUCACCAAGAAGGCGGCCGUGUUGGACGCGGCGGCCAGGCUGCCGGCGGUGUCGGAGCAGGUGGACGACGCGCGCUGCGAGUGCUGCGGCAUGACGGAGGAGUGCUCGGCCGAGUACGUGCGGCGCGUGCGGGAGCGGUACUGCGGGCAGUGGGUGUGCGGGCUGUGCGCGGCGGCGGUGACCGACGAGGCGGACAGGAGCCGGAGCACGACGGAGGAGGCGCUGGCCGCGCACAUCGCCGUGUGCGGGCGGUUCAACCGCCUGGGGCGCGCCAACCCGGUGCUCAUGCAGACGGAGGCCAUGAGGGAGAUCUUCAGAAAGAGGGGCAAGUCCAACAGCCCCAGGGACAGCGCGCGUGCCGGUGGCCUCUCCAGGAGUUCCAGCUGCAUGUCUGCCAUCACCAAGGACCUCAACUGUGCCAUGAAAAAAUAG
rnacentral:rRNA from 1 species